rnacentral:lncRNA from 1 species
CUGCUGGGAAAGUGGGCGGGGCCGCGCGGGGUAGUCCUAGAUCUGCAGUGUGCGAGUUUGCCGGAUGUGACUGUAACUUCGCUAGCUAAAAUGCUUGAGAGCGGACCCUUCAUCCCUUUGAGCAUGUUUCUUCCUAAAAUGCGCGGAUACCGGGAGAUCAAGAUGAGGGAUGUCAUGUGCCUUGUGAACUGUCACCCGCCGUGCGAUAUCUCCAAUUCAUUGCAACUGUUUCAGGAUACCAACUGUUGGGCAGAAGCACAAAUGGGAGCGGGUUGAACCCACUUUCACCUACUGAGCAUAUUCCAUACUGGUCAUCAGAAUGUUUAGAUAGUAUGUUAAUAUGUCAGUUGUUAAGCCUAUGAAGAAUAUAUGUUAAAAGAAGCAAUGUGGCCAGGCAAGCUGGCUCAUGCUUGUAAUCCCAGCGCUUUAAGAGGCUGAGGCAGGAGGAUCCCUUGAGGCCAGGAGUUCAAGACCAGCGUGGGCAACAGGCUUCAAAAAAGAAGAAAUGUAAAAGCAGAGAUGUGAACAAGAGAUAGAGUGCAUCUUUGUUGCUUGGGUGCUCCCCCUGUUGUCCAAUGGCAGAAGCUCCACGUCUUCCUCUGAGGGCUGAAUCUGGUUCUACUUGUGCCCAUUGGAUCCUCUUAUUGAUGAGGGUUACAAAGGCCGAGAUUGGCCUGCCAGAGAGACCCACAGCACCUCUUCAGACUUACUACCUUCUUUCCUUUCCUUCUUUUGACAAAUAUGUAUUGAGCACUCCUAGUCCAGGAAUUGUACCAAAUGCCCAGAAUAUAAAUGAACAAGACAUGGUCCUCAACCACCACCCUAGAGACAGGCAUAAAAAGAACUGACAGUAACAAGCCCCUAAUUUCAUGUAGUAAAUUAUAUCUAAUAAAGUGCCUUCGCUUUUCAUGGAAUCUUCGUAGCAACCAUCUGCAGAAGAGGUAUCAUUAUCCCUGAUGAGAAAUGGAGUCUCAAAGAGUUUAACUUAAAGUGGCUCUCUCUGGGCAAAAACUUCAAAGUUCUUUGGAAAUAAAAUGAGUAAUUCAGUCCCCUACCCUCUAAUUAGAUAGUUUGAUGGGUGUAAAGCUAGAUUAUGCUUGUCAGAACAUACACCAGGGUUUGUCUCUUAGUUACACUGGUCUGAACCCAGGAAUUUCAGGAUAGUGAGGAAUAUAACCAAGCAAAUUACACAGAAAAUGACUGUUCACUUACAGUUAGUUCUGCAUACUGAGAACUCGAGUUCUGAAUGGACUAAAGAUAAAGAAGAAAUACAAGUCUUUAGUUUCGAAUUAGAGAGGUCAUAACUCAGAAUCAAGAAUGCAAGAAUUGUCUUGCAGUAUUUUCUUUUCCCUUUAGCAAACUGCUGCCCAUGAUAUAAAACAGUUACAUCCACUGGAACAAAACAGGAACACUUCUUGUCCCAAAUGCAAACUUUAAUUUAUUUUUAUCUUAUUUUAUUUUAUUUUUGAGACGGAGUCUCGCUCUGUCGCCAGUCGUCAGGCUUGAGUGCAGUGGCGUGAUCUCGGCUCACUGCAACGUCCGCCUCCCAGGUUCAAGUGAUUCUCCUGCCUCAGCCUCCUGUGUAGUUGCCUCAGCAAACUUUAAUUUUCCGUUUUUAUCAUCUGGCUCUCCAGGUAGAAACUACCUUCUUUUCUUUUUGAGAUAGAGUCUCCCUCCAUUGCCCAGGCUGGAGUGCAGUGGCACGAUCUCGACUCACUGCAACCUCUGUCUCGUCUCCCAGGUUCAAGCGAUUCUUGUGCCUCAGCCACCCAAGUAGCUGAGACUACAGGCGCACGCCAUCAUGCCCGGCUAGUUUUUGUAUUUUUUGUAGAGACAUGGUUUUGACAUGUUUCCCCGGUUGGUCUCAAA